GACGAACGCUGGCGGCGUGCUUAACACAUGCAAGUCGAACGGAAAGGCCCUGCUUUUGUGGGGUGCUCGAAUGGCGAACGGGUGAGUAACACGUGAGUAACCUGCCCUUGACUUUGGGAUAACUUCAGGAAACUGGGGCUAAUACCGGAUAGGCGCUCCUGCUGCAUGGUGGGGGUUGGAAAGUUUCGGCGGUUGGGGAUGGACUCGCGGCUUAUCAGCUUGUUGGUGGGGUAGUGGCUUACCAAGGCUUUGACGGGUAGCCGGCCUGAGAGGGUGACCGGCCACAUUGGGACUGAGAUACGGCCCAGACUCCUACGGGAGGCAGCAGUGGGGAAUAUUGCACAAUGGGCGGAAGCCUGAUGCAGCAACGCCGCGUGCGGGAUGACGGCCUUCGGGUUGUAAACCGCUUUCGCCUGUGACGAAGCGUGAGUGACGGUAAUGGGUAAAGAAGCACCGGCUAACUACGUG
rnacentral:rRNA from 1 species